ACCUUAAAAGUCGAGAAACCUCGUCGACAUCCAAAACCGAAAACCGAAAACCGAAAAGAUGUUCCCCUAAAUCCGCUUUCAAAAUCUUUGUUCCCACCUCCCCCUUUCCUCGACUCUCACUCGACCGCCCUUCCCUUGGUUAGGGCUUUGUAUUCCUCAAACCAGAGAAAAUUUUGGAA